GGCGAAGGGUGAGUAAUACAUGGAUAACCUGCCCUCGAGACGGGAACAACAGUCGGAAACGAUUGCUAAUGCCCGAUAGAGACACCGGACUUCGGGUUCGCUGUCUAAAGAUUGCCUCUGUUUACAAGCUUUUGCUCGGGGAGGGGUUCAUGUCCUAUCAGCUAGUUGGUGAGGUAACGGCCCACCAAGGCGAUGACGGGUAGCUGGCCUGAGAGGGUGGUCAGCCACACUGGGACUGAGAUACUGCCCAGACUCCUACGGGAGGCUGCAGUCGAGGAUCUUCCGCAAUGGGCGAAAGCCUGACGGAGCGACGCCGCGUGCGGGAUGAAGGCCUUCGGGUUGUAAACCGCUGUCAGGGGGUAUGAAGCACAAACGGUAAAUAGCCGUUUGCUUGACGUCAACCUCAGAGGAAGCACUGGCUAACUCCGUGCCAGCAGCCGCGGUAAUACGGAGAGUGCUAGCGUUGUUCGGAAUUAUUGGGCUUAAAGGGCACGUAGGCGGGAAUGUAAGUCAGGGGUGAAAUCCCUCGGCUCAACCGAGGAAUUGCUUCUGAUACUGCAUACCUAGAGGGCAGGAGGGGAGAGUGGAAUUCCUGGUGGAGCGGUGAAAUGCGUAGAUAUCAGGAGGAACGCCGGUGGCGAAAGCGACUCUCUGGUCUGUUCCUGACGCUGAGGUGCGAAAGCUAGGGGGGCAAACGGGAUUAGAUACCCCGGUAGUCCUAGCCGUAAACGAUGGGCACUAAGUAGAGGAGGUUGCUACACCUUCCCUGCUGGAGCAAAAGUGUUAAGUGCCCCGCCUGGGUAGUACGGCCGCAAGGUUGAACUCAAGGAAUUGACGGGGCUCACACAGCGGUGGAAGGAUGUUGUUUAAUUCG
rnacentral:rRNA from 1 species